GACGAACGCUGGCGGCGUGCCUAAUACAUGCAAGUAGAACGCUGAAGGAGGAGCUUGCUCUUCUGGAUGAGUUGCGAACGGGUGAGUAACGCGUAGGUAACCUGCCUGUUAGCGGGGGAUAACUAUUGGAAACGAUAGCUAAUACCGCAUAACAGUAGAUGUUGCAUGACAUUUACUUAAAAGGUGCAAUUGCAUCACUACCAGAUGGACCUGCGUUGUAUUAGCUAGUUGGUGGGGUAACGGCUCACCAAGGCGACGAUACAUAGCCGACCUGCGAGGGGGAUCGGCCAAACUGGGAAUGAGACACGGCCCAGACCCCUAAGGGAGGCAGCAGUAGGGAAUCUUCCGCAAUGGACGGAAGUCUGACCGAGCAACGCCGCGUGAGUGAAGAAGGUUGUCGGAUCGGAAAGCCCUGUUGUAAGGGAAGAAAGAGUGUGAGAGUGGAAAGUUCACACUGUGACGGUAUCUUACCAGAAAGGGACGGCUAACUACGUG
rnacentral:rRNA from 1 species